UACGUAGGGGGCAAGCGUUGUCCGGAAUCAUUGGGCGUAAAGAGCGUGUAGGCGGCGCGGUAAGUCCGCUCUGAAAGCCCGGGGCUCAACCCCGGGAGGCGGGCGGAUACUGUCGGGCUAGAGUCCGGAAGAGGCGAGUGGAAUUCCUGGUGUAGCGGUGAAAUGCGUAGAGAUGUGGCGGAACACCGAUGGCGAAGGCAGCCCCCUGGGUCGAGAUUGACGCUCAGGCACGAAAGCGUGGGGAGCAAACAGG
rnacentral:rRNA from 1 species